rnacentral:rRNA from 1 species
AUACGUAGGGGGCGAGCGUUGUCCGGAAUGAUUGGGCGUAAAGGGCGCGUAGGCGGCUUUGCAAGUCAGUAGUGGAAGUCCAUUUUUCAAGGAUGGAAGUGCUACAGAAACUGCGGAGCUUGAGUGCAGGAGAGGCUAUCGGAAUUCCCGGUGUAGCGGUGAAAUGCGUAGAGAUCGGGAGGAACACCAGUGGCGAAGGCGGGUAACUGGACUGCAACUGACGCUGAGGCGCGAAAGUGUGGGGAGCAAACAGGAUUAGAUACCCUGGUAGUCCACACUGUAAACGAUGAAUGCUAGGUGUAGGAGGUAUCGACCCCUUCUGUGCCGCAGUAAACACAGUAAGCAUUCCGCCUGGGGAGUACGGUCGCAAGAUUAAAACUCAAAGGAAUUGACGGGG